rnacentral:lncRNA from 1 species
AUUUUGAUUGGUAAUGCCUCGUAACUCUAAUCUGGCGACGGACUCGGGUCGGGGUGUUACAACAGUAUUGACAAAGAUGGCAAGAAAAUCAGAAAAUAGCGAAUCAAGCAAAUAUGAAUGGAUUUCUUUUUAUUUUCUUGUUUCAUUACGGCUAUAAAGAGCCACUGAAAAUACUGUAAAAAAGACAUUGAGAAAUCAAUAAAAAACGAGUAUUUC